UACGGAGGGUGCAAGCGUUAUCCGGAUUCACUGGGUUUAAAGGGUGCGUAGGUGGGCAGGUAAGUCAGUGGUGAAAUCUCCGGGCUUAACCCGGAAACUGCCGUUGAUACUAUCUGUCUUGAAUAUAGUGGAGGUGAGCGGAAUAUGUCAUGUAGCGGUGAAAUGCUUAGAUAUGACAUAGAACAUCGAUUGCGAAGGCAGCUCGCUACACUAUCAUUGACACUGAGGCACGAAAGCGUGGGGAUCAAACAGG
rnacentral:rRNA from 1 species